AUGAAAGGGCCCAAGCUUGGGGAGGCUAUGUUUGAUGAGGAUGACAUAUUUGAGAAUAUAUUUGCUGAAAUUAAUGUUUGUCCCAAGCUUGGGGAUGCUAUGUUUAAUGAAGAUGAUAUUUUUAGCAUCCCAAGUUUUGAUAUGCAAAGUUGUUAUGAUGAUAGCAUGCCUCCUACUUAUGAUGAUUAUAUUGAUGAAAAAGGGUUUGGAAGAGUGUCAACUUUAGGAAGUAGUGAUCCCACUAUUUUGGAGGAUGUUGAAUUUUAUUGUGAUGAAUACGAAAGUGGAUUUGGAAGAGUGUCAACUUUAUUUAGUGAUUCCACUAUCUUGGGAGAGGUUUCAAUCGAUUUUGAUGAGAACAAAGUUGCUACUUAUGAUGAUUAUUGUGAUGAAACUUAUGCUAUAAAAAGUAGUGAUGAUUAUAUAUAA
rnacentral:rRNA from 1 species